ensembl:lncRNA
GUGUUUCUUGUUAAGAUCCCUGCCUCUCACUGGUGAAAGAAUUCAGGCUAAGGGGAGGCUGACUCUGCUUCUAUCCUUUCGCUUCUAGGAGCACCUUUCGUGGCAGACAGCACCUGCUGCCCAUGUUGAUGUGUCUCACCGCUCUGCUGCCACACGAAUUGAAACCACAGGAAGGGGAGCCCCAGGUCAACAGAGUUGCUGGAAGACAAGGUCAUUAGCCCCAGCAUCCUCCUGCGGGCAUGCAUGGCAGCAAGAAUUGAAAGGAUGAUGUAUUGCACUCUAAGGGAAGGAGGAUUGUGGUCCUGGUGCCUACAGACAUACCUCACAGUGACAGAGCAAGAGCUAUUUUUGAAAAAUGCAUUUUGAUUCAGUCUAUGCUCCUGACUUGGAACUAGGAGUCAUUCAGUUUGCAGAACAUUCCAGCCAUCUUUCCAGAGAGAGUGAAGGAGGACAGUCAGAACAGAGCACCUACCCACUGAACCUGAAAGCAUGGAUUUUAGCUUAUGGCAGAGUUUCAGUGAUGGUCACAGCUCUGUGCAGCCGCAGGUGGAUGUGCAUGGCUUGUAGGCCAGGAAUGGUCCUCAUAAAGUACAAGGCUCUGCAUAAGGUUUUGCUUACAUCUGAUAUAUCUAAUGUUCUGGACCAGUUAAAUUCCACCCCAGCAGCUCAUCACAGGGCUGUUGGCCCUGCCAGGCAAGGCUGAGCACAGUCUGUGGGCAGUACAGCGUGCACGGUGGAUGCUCUGAAACCCAGACAACGAGAAAAGUCCUUGUACUAAGAUGUUGACAACUCGUAUUAGAGUGAGUAAUGUGCUGGGAUGCAUGCCAGCCUCCUAGACCUUCACGUUAUGGCUGCAGCGUAAGCAAUUUCAAUGCCAGUUAAUUGCACUUGAAAACACUGUGGUGGUUGUGGUAUCUAAACACAGAAUAGGCGGAGAUGUGGAGUAAUGCCUCGGGACAUGGUGACUUUAGUGUGAAGGAAUCAAUGAAGGACUUUGAAGUCUACCCUUGUUUUCUUUGAAUAGCUUUCUCUUCUAUCUCAUGCUGGCACUAAUUCAACAGAUAUUGGUUUCUGUUGUUUUUUUAAUGCUAAAACCCAGGGAUUUGGUUGUCAUAAGACUGCUGGCAUGCAGUUCUCAGCCUCUAACAUAUAGAGUGGUUAUGGCUGACCUGCAGCAGCUUAUUACUUAACCACUUCUGCAUCUACCUUAAUGCUUACAUACUGCAGAAAUGGCACUUUGUCAUGUUUGUACUUACCCUCUUCUUAAACACAGUUACUCCAAAGAUGAGGACUGCAGUGCCUACUUAGUGUAAAGGAAGGAUGGGGGAGGCACUGGGAUCAGAGUGCUGUCUGUCUCACUUUAUGUCCUGCUAGGUGGCCCUUUGCAUCUCUGAGCCUAAUUUUCCUACCCUCUGUGAAAAGCUGUAACUUUUUAGGGUACUUUGGGAGAUCUGCAGAAGAAAAACUUUGAGGCAUGCAAAUAAUUCUAUGGUGCAUUUGUUUAUUUUUUAUAUGGUUAUUUAUUUUAUUUGUGUGGUUAUUUGUUUAUUUGCUUAUUCUAUUAUGCAAAUAAUAGUAAUGCAGAUAGUU